UGUCAUCUGAAUCCAGUGGUAGAAAAGAGGAUUUUUAUUUAUUUGUUUGUUUCAUUUUAAAUUGGAAAAAUAGUCUUUUGGUUGAGGAGCAAUAGGAAGAAGUCUGGAUUCAUGGAGGACACUCACUGGGAGAAAGACCUGCAGGCAGCUUCCAGCCAUGGAGAGAUAGCAAGAGAACACAGCAAUAAAUUACACCAGCAGCCAAUGGACUUGGAAAAUAAUCCUGACCUGGGUUGAAAUCCUUACUUUGACCAACAUCUUGGCUGCAGUCCAAGGAGACCCAAAGAAGAAAACCCACUUAUGCUGGACCUGGACUUGGGAACCAUGGACACAAUAAACUGGUGAUGUUUUAAGCCAGUAAUUUCUGGUAGUUACACAGGGCAUUCAGACUGAGAAAACUACUCAGUCAAAAACCCAUCAUUCCCCAUGGGACAAAGAAGGAUUAUUCAGAGCUCUGGAUGAUUAAACCAGAAACCAUAAAGAAGCAUUUCCAGGCAGUGGGUCUGGACCUAUUGUGUGGGCUGCACAAGCGUUUGAUGGGUUUUGAGGUGAUGCAGACCAGGGACAGCCAUGGUUUCCCCACUUCAACCCUUUCUUAUAAGAGACUCUGUGGUGGUUGCCCUAUUUCUGCCCCAUGGUUGUAAGUGGGCAAGGGAGGGGCAAGGAACCAGUCCCUUUUGUCCCCAGGUCUUCAAAUGAGGAAGAACCUUACCAAGAAACUUCAUCUGCAUCCAGAACUCACUCAGAUGACAAUGAGACUCUGGAGGCUUGGGAAGGUGAAUAUAAUUUUCAAGCAGGAAGAAUGUACAUGUUUUGUAGCCAAAGGUCUGACUCUGAUGGUUUCAAAGUUCAUCACCAUAUUUAACAUCCCUCUCAUUGAGAAAUGGUCUCUGUCCCAUCCUUGGGCCCUGGGUGGCCUGUGUGACUGCCCUGGUGUGGAAGCAAUGCUGACUGAUGUCUGAUGUUGGUUUGAGAAGGCUGAGGUUCUGCCAGCUUCGUUGGGCUUUCUCCAUUUUCAGCCCUGCAAAAAUCCCCUUCUCUGAGUUCACCAUGUGGAGAGGUCACAUAGGGAUACCAGAGAGAGAAAAAGACAUCAAGCUUCCAGUCACUCUGAUCCUUCUUAGUCCAGGAUGAGACUUGGGAGCAAAGAAGACUUUGAGAAUAUCUGGCCCCAGCCACUGUCUGAUACAACCACAGAGAGAGAAUAAAGACAGCCUCACUGCACCAUGUCAGGCCUCAUAUUCAUGAAAAACAUCAGCCAUCCCCUUUGCUUCAUGGCUUUGUUAAGAUAAAGGACUUCAACUGAUGUAUCCCUUCCUUAAGUACUUUCUCCCAAAACCAUACUUCUUUCCUGUGCUGGUUUUUUGCCCCCACAAAGUACAUCAUUAUGAGGUUUGUGGGGGGGUAGAAUUUUUUUGCAUCCUGGGGAAAACCAUAGCAAAUUUCAUAAGUUGAAAAAAAUAAAUAAGGCCUGAAACAAUUGUGCUUAUAUUGGCAUUCUAAAAAUUGAAAUAGUCUGAGAAAAGUCAUGUCAAAAGCAAGGGUACUUCUGUGCAUGUAAGAUAUUAAAACAAGCGACCACAAAAUCUGGUGCAAACUCUAAGCUUUGAUGAAUCCUAGGCAGUUAAGAAAUGCUCAAAAGUAGUAAAGGAGAAAACAUACGUAUUUGUGUUUUUCCUGGUAAUAAAGAUUAACUUGGUGUUUGGACCUCA